UACGGAGGGUGCAAGCGUUAAUCGGCAUUACUGGGCGUAAAGCGCGCGUAGGCGGUUAGAUAAGUCGGAUGUGAAAUCCCCGGGCUUAACCUGGGCACUGCAUUCGAUACUGCUUGGCUAGAGUAUGAGAGAGGGAGGUAGAAUUCCACGUGUAGCGGUGAAAUGCGUAGAUAUGUGGAGGAAUACCGGUGGCGAAGGCGGCCUCCUGGCUUAAUACUGACGCUGAGGUGCGAAAGCGUGGGGAGCAAACAGG
rnacentral:rRNA from 1 species